UACAGAGGGGGCAAGCGUUAAUCGGAAUUACUGGGCGUAAAGCGCGCGUAGGUGGUUCGUUAAGUUGGAUGUGAAAGCCCCGGGCUCAACCUGGGAACUGCAUUCAAAACUGACGAGCUAGAGUAUGGUAGAGGGUGGUGGAAUUUCCUGUGUAGCGGUGAAAUGCGUAGAUAUAGGAAGGAACACCAGUGGCGAAGGCGACCACCUGGACUGAUACUGACACUGAGGUGCGAAAGCGUGGGGAGCAAACAGG
rnacentral:rRNA from 1 species